UGUCAGGACUUCAGUUUACGUUCUCAAGUUUGUAUCUGGAGAAACCUGUGCAUUGGUUAAGAAAUUCUGAUCCAGAGGGGAAAGCACAAUCCCACUGGUCCACAAACAAUGCUUGCAGCAGUUAACUGUUUUUGGUUAGAGGUUGGUCCUCCCAGUACAGAUCAGUUCCAGGCUUGCUUAGCUUCUGAGAGCUGAAAAAGCUGACUACAAGGUAAGGCUACUGUGAGGAAUGAUGGGUGUCUUUGUGUGGCACAAAAAGCAUAUCAGGUGUAAAAGUUAAUGAUUCACUUUCAAUAUUGUUCAUCAAAACUGGUAUUUAUUGGAUCAUUCAAAGGGGAUACAGAAAUAAACAUAUUUGACAAUGUUUUAAAGGGUGCUACAGUAUUGCUAUAUGGUGUAAUGGUUAGGAAAAAAUACAUCUUUUAUUAAUAAAAAUGUGUUGCAGUGACCUUAAGCUUACAAGUAGGAGAUGUGGUCUGUCAAAUGUUCUUAUCAGCUUGAGAACUUCAAACAUAACUUGAAUACUUCCAGGAAAUCAUUUUCUAGUGAGAUCCAGUCCCUGUUACAAAGGUUUCUCUUCAGUCCAAUUCUUCUGACAAAUGGUUUAUUAACCGCCACUCUUAAAACAAGACCAGGCACAACAUAUUUCAUUUAAUUGGCAACUAAUAAAAAAACAAAUAAUUUUACAUUUACCAGGCGCUGUGGAGCAGGUAAGUAAAGCAAGGUCUGUUGCAACAGCCUUAGAAGAAUGUAAUAUGUUUGACUCUUUCAGCUAUCAAUCAGACCCUAAGAUCCUUUUAAUGUACAUUCUCAGUGUGCCAGCGCUUUGAAACGAAAAAUCACUCCUUGCCUGAAAAAUGUCAAACAAGCUUUAACAGCACUGGAAGCUAUGCUAUCCUGAACUUGAACCUGAAGACAUCAAUAGCCCAAGUCUUUAGCUCUAGUACUUUGCAGUUGUUUUUACCUUCUGAUCUCCACAGGAGGGAAUAGUUAAUAUAACUGUCUGUGCCCCAGGCUACUUCAUUUGUCUUUGACAUAGUAGUAGCGGACUUUCCUUCCACCUACAAAUCCAAGACAAACUCCUACAAUUUGCUUUACAAUGUACCUCAGUGUUUUACUUUUUGGGGAUUGUAUUUUAAAUCGGAAAAACAUGAAAAUUCACGAUUCUUUCAUUUCUCUAGAAAGAUCUCCGAGUCACACAGAACAUUACCAUUCCUAUUGAGCCUUGGGUGGUGUUUUUCUCUUUUCACUGGUUGUUCCUUGCUGGUCUUCAGAAGUUUAAAAUCCAGUUCUGGGAUUUCUCCAGGAACAUAUGAAAGACAAUAAUCCUUUGCCACAAACAGCCAGCACAAAGGAAUCUUUUACCUUUCUGCUGGGAUUAAAGGCUGACCCUCAUGCGUCUGACUUCCGUCUGCUUCUGAAGUUACACACCCAUUGCAAUGAAAGAUGCCAUUUGCGCCAUUAGCAAGCAUGGAGCAUCAGCAGCACAACAGAGCACGAGCCAGGUCUGCCUGGCUGCCAAGCAGACAUGGAAACUGUGGUCUGGAAGACACUGGAAGCUGAAAAGGUCUUCGGUGAAUGCCCCUCACUCUGCCACAUUCAAGUACCAGUGCUGACAGAGAGAUGGGAACUGUGCAGGCUCCACAGAGUGAAGGCAUACCUCAGGGAGUCUCGCGGGAAGCAAAAGGAGGCUUCUUUGUGCGCAACCAUAUCCCUGCUCCUGAGAAGCUUCACGUUGAGGCUCUGCUUUCCUACCUCGUUCAGGUCUGUGUGGAAGAGGUGCCCUGCCCGGCACUCCCGGAAAUUGGAUCAAUUGUCACCAUCAUGCAUCCAAACCUUCUCCUGUUUAGUGCACCACUGUAGUCUACUGGGUUAAAGCCAAGCAGAGCUACAGGGGAAGCCCAAAUGCAUGGGUAGACAACAGCGGCUGAAGCAGGGUAGCAGUGCUUUAAGGACCUGUAUGAGUUGCUGAGUUGGUAGAUAGGGAAAUUGUAUCUUGGGGCUGUCAUGGAGGCAUGAUCACAACAGCCACUCCAGGUUACUUCCUGGGUAAAGGAGGGAGGAAAGAAAUUAGGUUAAAUCAGGCUCACACCCAAGAAGGGAGGUGAUGAAAGGGGAGAACCCACCAGUCCUGAAGCCUUAAACCGGGCGGAGCUUGGAGUCUGGAGAGAAUCCGUCACAACAGGGAAACGAACCAAUACCACUGACAUGUCUCAGAGAUACACUGCAAGCUUUUCUAGCAUUGACAGCAUAAUAGGUUUACAUUCUAAUAGAAUACUGCACUUUGUUUUAAACACACAUAUGGUCUAGUAUAACAGCAUUUUCAUUAUACAGAAUAUAAAAUACACUUAGGACCAUAUUUAAACGCUUGUACAUUUAAAGAAAGCUGGAGGGUCAGGGGUUAAAGUCUCCUCUGCAGAUGUGUCCUUGAUCACUUCCAUCCAAUCAGCUGUGUGAAAAGGCACCAGCUCGAGUGUGCAGGAUCCCUGUGAUGGACUGGCAUCCUGUCCAGGGCUAAGUUUUACAUUUACACCAUGAAAACUGAGGUCUGGCCUGUUAAAUCACUCAGUUCGUAUAAGGACAUAUAGUACUUUAUCUCCUUGAGAAAGUUCAUUUUUUAAAGGAGGAAUUGCAGAUAACUGGGUAAAAUUCAGACACAAAGGAUAACGUUUAGCAAGAUUUCCCCUCAUGAGGAAGAAAGACAAAAAGACAGUGUGUUAUAGAGAGAAAAUAAAGGUGGUGGAAUACGUGUCAGGGGAAGUCAUUAAAUAGUGAACAUUCUGUAACCUGUGUUCUUAAUUAAAGACAAAAGCCUAAACAGGCUGCAGAGCUCUUACUCAACCUUCAUCUAUGUUGUGUUAACAGUAGGAAUUUUGAAAACAAGCCUUUCAGUUUGUUUUAUUGUGCAAAACAAACCUUGUGACAUUGAUUACAGACCUGUGAAACAGAUUAGUUUUUUUCCAUUUUUCUUGUUAGCUCUCACCGCCUCUAAGACCAUAAAAUAUUCCCAAGUAUGUGUAUGUGACAGGCAGCAAAUAGCCCAAAGGAAUUAAUCCUGCUAAUAUAAGCACCCAAUGUUUUUAUCUCUUUAAAUUGUACAUCAACAACCACUAUCAUAAAUCUGCACUCCAUGUUAAUCUAACAGACUAUGCUGAUGUACCUUCCCCACAGUCAUCUUAUAAUUAUUACCAGAAUUAUGCAGACGCCAGGUAACCAGUAUUUACAAGGAGCUCAUUGUUAAAGAAAGGGGGUCAUCUACUAUGAAUGCUUCUCAUCCAUUUUUUCAUAUAAUCUACUGACAUUAAGUUAAUUUUAUU